rnacentral:misc_RNA from 1 species
GAGAAGGGCGACCGCGACGCGCAGGCUGCGCUUGAGAUUGGGUACUCGCAUCGUCAUCGUUACUAUCCUUGUCCCAUCUCAGUCGGUGAUGAAGCCGUAAGUGCCGCGAUACUUGCGGCCGGGCUCCGCGCGNNNNNNNGCGGUUGAUGUUGCCAAGAAGGUCCGACUGCGGGUCCGCAGCGUCGGCGAAGCCGUCGUCAGGACGCGACAGAUCCUUCUGCGCGACCGCGCGGACUACGAACGGCGUCACCAGCACCAUCA